GGAGAGAGCAGGAAUGCUGACCCUUCAUUGUAUAUUGAACUGGUUCAGCCCUUGGACAGCUUUACCUUUCUUUAGUAAUGUACAUUUUAGCUACUACCUUGAGAACUGAUAAUGGAGCUUGGAUCCAAUUUAGAUAGAAAAAAUAUUUUUUAUUUUCAAAUAGCAAAAAAAAAAAAAAAAAUACAUUGACACUAAUACUUAUAACCUAUCCAGAUGAGAUACUGACUUUGUAGUGCUGUGAGAUGUUGAAAAACUUCAACCCUUUCAGAACCUGAGCGGUGGCUUCUGGUUGAUGAGCAUGUGGUACAUGCGUGAGGAGAAGUCCACACUCAGGCUCAGCCUUGUACAUAUGAGGACAGAGAAGAGCAGCGUUCACUGUCUACCUUUUUCUAGAAUUACCUUGAACCUUAAAUUUUAAAUCAUGUUUAUUGCUAGAAAAUUAAACAUAGUUAUUUAAACCAAUAAAAAGCACAUUUCUGAAGGAGAGUUAAUCUCUUGACUCUAAUGAAAAGAUAUUAAUAAAAUUCUAAAUGUAGGUAGGAGUCUAAAGGAAUUUAUGUAAAAGCAAUCAGAUUUUUUAACUUAUGAGAACCAAAUAAACCUAAGACAUCUUACAUCAUUUCUAGGAUUCUGAAAGAAUAUUUACUCAGCUUUGUGAUGAGGCAGCACAUAUUGUAUUUCUAGAUACGAUUUGGAAAACUAUCCUUAACAUGCUUUUUUAUAUACUUUGUAUUUAGAGUUUGUUUCGGUCAUUUUUGAAGAUUAUUGACAGUGCACGUAGCUGUGUGAUUUAUCCUAAACCUCAGUAAAGUUUAUUCCGGAGCAUCACAGAUUGAACAUCAGUUAGAGAAGAGUCCUUGGGGUCUGGAGGCAAUUAAAGACUACCAAAAGAAAAUAGUGGAGAGUUUAGGACUAUUGUCAUUGAUGUUUUCCAUGAUCCCAAACCAGCUGUAGGCUGAAUAUAUAUGUAAAAAGUAGAGUUUUAUUUAUGAAAAGUAUUGUUCUAAGAUGGAAAAACCCUUCAGGGCCAUGCUGUAUCCUUUUUACCCUUCUAUAUGACAUGUCUGUUUAUGUCCUUUGUGGUUUCUUCAGAUUUUCUAUACUAGCGUGGGAACUAAUCAGGGAACCUGCCUGGGGUAUAAAAUUUGUGUAU
rnacentral:lncRNA from 1 species